CAAUGUCCCCUAGUGUCCUAGUGACAAGGGGACACUGGGAUACAUGGGGACACAGACAUGCCCACUUUUUGUGUAUGUUCGCCCCUUUCGGCAGUUCUGGUUAUGUGAUUUGUGUCAGUGGCCCACCCUUUUACCCCAUCCAUAGACUUCCUGCUUUACUGGACACUGCUGUUAGGGGGUAUGGGUUUACGUGAAAGAUGAAAGCGUGAUAUUAUCAUAGGGUAUGUGUUUUCUCAUAGCUGAAUCCUAUGAGUUUCCCUCAAGCACCAUCCCCAUCACAUACAUGACGCUUAGGAGGUAGG